rnacentral:rRNA from 1 species
AACGAACGCUGGCGGCAUGCCUAACACAUGCAAGUCGAACGAGACCUUCGGGUCUAGUGGCGCACGGGUGCGUAACGCGUGGGAACCUGCCCUUAGGUUCGGAAUAACUCCCCGAAAGGGGUGCUAAUACCGGAUAAUGUCUUCGGACCAAAGAUUUAUCGCCUUUGGAUGAGCCCGCGUUGGAUUAGCUAGUUGGUAGGGUAAAAGCCUACCAAGGCGACGAUCCAUAGCUGGUCUGAGAGGAUGAUCAGCCCCACUGGGACUGAGACACGGCCCAGACUCCGACGGGGGGCAGCAGUGGGGAAUAUUGGACAAUGGGCGAAAGCCUGAUCCAGCAAUGCCGCGUGAGUGAUGAAGGCCUUAGGGUUGUAAAGCUCUUUUACCCGGGAUGAUAAUGACAGUACCGGGAGAAUAAGCACCGGCUAACUCCGUG